rnacentral:rRNA from 1 species
CCUACGGGAGGCUGCAGUGAGGAAUAUUGGUCAAUGGCCGGGAGGCUGAACCAGCCAAGUCGCGUGAGGGAAGACGGCCCUACGGGUUGUAAACCUCUUUUGUCGGGAAGCAAGGUGCAGCUCGGGACCUGCUGUGGGUGUCUCUGAAAAAAAAGCAUCGGCUAACUCCGUGCCCGCCGCCGCGGUAAUACGGAGGAUGCGGGCGUUAUCCGGAUUUAUUGGGUUUAAAGGGUGCGCAGGCGGAGGCACAAGUCAGCGGUAAAAUCGCGGGGCUCAACCCCGCUCCGCCGUGGAAACUGUGUCCCUUGAGUGCGCGAAGGGUAGGCGGAAUGCGUGGUGUAGCGGUGAAAUGCAUAGAUAGCACGCAGAACUCCGAUCGCGAAGGCAGCCUACCGGCGCGCAACUGACGCUGAGGCACGAAAGCGUGGGGAUCGAACAGGAUUAGAUACCCGUGUAGUC